UACGGGGGGAGCAAGCGUUGUUCGGAUUUACUGGGCGUAAAGGGCGCGUAGGCGGCCUGUGCAAGUCAGUUGUGAAAUCUCCGAGCUUAACUCGGAACGGUCAACUGAUACUGCUCGGCUAGAGUGCGGAAGGGGCAACUGGAAUUCCAGGUGUAGCGGUGAAAUGCGUAGAUAUCUGGAGGAACACCGGUGGCGAAGGCGGCGUUCUGGACUGCAACUGACACUGAGGAACGAAAGCCAGGGGAGCAAACGGG
rnacentral:rRNA from 1 species